rnacentral:lncRNA from 1 species
AUGCUGCAGAGGCUUUGCUGUUUUGGGCCUGGGCUCCAGGUCUCCAUGCACAUGUCACUACAUUUGAAUUCGCUUCUAUAUUUAGCAUGCAGACCUGUGUCGCCGGAAGUGAGCAGCAUGGAGGAGCAUGUUAUCCUAGCCGUGCAGAGAAUAUCAUGGAGCGAGGUGCUUGAGAUGCCCUUCUCUCUGCUCCUGCGUGCGUCCUGGGGAGGCUGGGCCUGCUUCCCCGUGGGCAGCGGGUUUCUCCGCCUAGACACCGUGCUUUUCCGGCCGCGUCCCCCAGGCUGGAGCCCGUUCACAUGGCAGCCGCGGGGUGGGAGGAGGGCCAGGCUGGGCCUUCGGCCAGCAUCGGGUGUGGCGAGCACCCCGGGAACCCAGCACCCGCGCCUCCUUGCGCAGCCAGGGGCCCCGACUGGGGCGGCUGGUGCAGGUUGCUCCUUUGGGCUGGUUUUCUUGUUUACCAUGGGGCGUGUUGAUGGCUCUGGUCCUUACUGCCCACUGGCCUGGGGUUGGGUGGUGUCUCCCUGUGACCCUUAUUCAGGACUCACAUUUUGUCCAGGGACAACACUUUUUAUGCGAGGAACUUGUGUUUUGGGGAAAAAACAGCUUGUUAACUGGUUUCCCACCCUUUUCCUCGACAGGCGCGGUGGCUACCCCACCAUGGCUGGGUUUCUCCGGUCGUUCGGAGAAAACUGGUGGUUGACCAGGGGCAGGCAGGGUCGUAUGGAGACAGUAUCACACGGCCGGCUUGCUGCGCUGGGAUCUGAAUGUCGGCCGGACAGCCGUGUAAGCAGGCUGGCGGUGUGGCCCUCGGAGGCUCUGCCGUUGGUCCGUAGUGGGGGCAGAGCCGGUAACACAAGAGAAGGGUUUCCCUUCAUUCAAAAUCCGGACUGGAGUUUGUACCAGAAUGUUCUCAGCGGGUCCGAGCCUUUAAACAAGUCAGCCGUGGCGGCUGUCACGGAGGAACCGGUCAGGCCAGGGCGUGACCUCGGUCCCAGGUUACGGGUCAAAGGUCAGCCUUUGUCUGAGGUUCUCUGGGGAUUUCGGAAAGUCUAG